UGGCAUGGAAGAAGGUGAGAC
rnacentral:miRNA from 1 species